rnacentral:rRNA from 1 species
GCUCGUGUCUUGAGAUGUUGGGUUAAGUCCCGCAACGAGCGCAACCCCUGUCCUUAGUUGCCAGGCACGUAAUGGUGGGAACUCUAAGGAGACCUGCCGGUGACAAACCGGAGGAAGGUGGGGAUGACGUCAAGUCAUCAUGGCCCCUUACGACCAGGGCUACACACGUACUACAAUGGUAGGGACAGAGGGUCGCAAUACCGCGAGGUGGAGCCAAUCCCAGAAACCCUAUCUUAGUCCGGAUCGCAGUCUGCAACUCGGCUGCGUGAAGUCGGAAUCGCUAGUAAUCGCGGAUCAGCAUUGCCGCGGUGAAUACGUUCCCGGGCCUUGUACACACCGCCCGUC